UUAUACUGAAAUCUUGGCAACUGUCAGUUUCAUGUAUGUCUCUUGCUUUUCUGAAUAUCUUAGUAUGGCAGUUAUGAGCGUCCAUUGUUUCUAUCAGCAGUUUCACAAUAUUAGGAUCCAGUUGACCUGUUUUGCCUGUGCGCUUGACAAUUGAAAGUCUAUUCUGAACCUCAUUAGCCGUAUCAACAAUGUAGAGCUGACUGAACUGUGGACGUCGUCCUGGUUGAGGAACCAAAGAGCCGAUCCUGUGGGCAUUUUGACCAUGGAUUCUUAGAGUAAAAGGCCCCGUCUUGUGCAUUACAGAGUGAUCAAUCUGGGCUCCCAUAGAGGUGAAUGCGAGGAUAGAGUUAUAAGUUCGAAUAUCAUGUUGGAAAUGGGUGGAGGUGAAGAGCAGUGAUUUCAACGCAGGAGGAGCUUCUGUCUCUGGUUUGAGUUUCACUCUACCUUGUUGACAGCAUAUUGAGAAUAGCGGUGUCCUGUUUGGACCUCUUGUCCCUUUCUUUUCUUUUUCCCAAACCAGAGCAUGACAGAAGGGGCAUUCGAGGAUUCCAUUAGAUGCGGGUUCCUGAGACUGUGACCUCUUUCCCUUUGAGCGGAGACUGGGUCCUACGUUAACAGACGUUGGUUGAAAUCAGAUUAUUGCUCGCCGCAUUUCCCUUGCUCUUUUCUGGGCAGCUGCAGGUGUUGUAGAUGUUAGCAGUAGUUUUUUUAAGUGUGAGUUUAUGGGUGGAGCUGACCUUUACGGUUUGGAAGCUCGCUGGAGGAACCAGUGAUUAUCGAAGCUGUGGCUGAUCCGAGCGGUGUGUUUUCUUUGUGACGUUUGUUCCACUCAGGUGAUGUUCCCUGGGAUGAUUUCCUUUUUCGCAUCUUAAACUACUUUGAAUUCGUUGUGAAAAUAUAGAAGCUACUUUGUAUUCCAGAAGUUUAGUAGGAGCUUUAAUUUAGUUUUC